GUUGUUCUUCGUCGUUUCCACUUCUCCAACUGACGUCUCAUCUUCUUCUCUAUUGCUCCACUGUAACGUCAGCCACCAAUACAUCUCUCUCAUUAAACUCCCUUCUUCACUCCUUUAAUCGCUGAUGAACUCCAAAUCGAAGAGACUGUUAUAUAAAGAUGACGAGGAUGAAGAAGUUCAACAAAAGAAGAGCAGAAAAUCGGCGAGAGAAACAUAGAUAGUCAUCGUUCAUAUCGCCCAUUCCAUCCUCGCUGGCGAUGGAUCUUCCUUGAGUGUGCCCUCAAUGCGCCUCCUCUGACCAGCUCUAUGUCCCAGAGCUCCACCGCAUAGUGCUAAAAGCCAGAGCCUUUCUCUCUUUGCCUCUGUAUAUCUUUCUUUCUUUCAGUUUGCACAUUCAACGCUCUCUAAUUUCAAACUUUG